CUUCGGUGAUACAGAAAUACAGCACUUCUGGCAUCAGAGGAGGUUCUGCAGAUGAUUCCCCUACCAGCAAUGGUCAGCGAUGUGGCCACCAGAAAACACUGUUGAUGAAACUGGCUUCCAUUGGCACCAGGACCGAAACGCUCAGCAAAUAAAGCAGCAUGGGAGCCUUAAGCAGCAUGUGAAGAACAGCCCCCGGCACAGCCAGAUCCCCUGAAGACUGCUGAAUAGUUACAUUUCUGUAAUGCUUCCUCCUAUGACGUGGUGUGACAGCAGAUAUUUCCUCCCUCAAGAUGAAUUUGUCAUUAACAAAGCCAGGAGAGGUGACAGUGGCAGAAGCAGGGCUUGUAAUCACCUUCAGUAGCAAGGUAUUUUGCAGGAACACAAACAUCUAAAGGAAAAUAUUUUGCUUUAUUCCCCAAUAUUCAUUUCUGGUCCAUUGGAAGAGCUAUAUAGCUUACUAAUGAGGGAAUUGGGAGCCAUGAGCUGUAAUCCUUGGCUGAGUGAAGCAAUGUGCUCGUUACAGCUGUCAAUCAUCUCCCUCCUGCCUCCUAUUUCUGAUCUGUAAAUUGAGGUUAAUACCCUCUAUACACCAAAGGUGCAGGGAGGAUUAAUUAGACAGCAUCUGUAGCACUGCAGUCUUCUCUUUGGGUGAUGGUUGGAGCUCCUGAAGACACACAAAUGUCUCAUUAGAAAGCUGUUUUCUACUGCAAACCUGAACAGGGGUGCUUCAGUUCUGAAUCACUGAGAUACUCUUGUUUUCAUCUGAAACUUACCAGUAUGAAACAAAUGAUUCUGACACAAGGGGAACACAAAGGAAAGCUGACCUUUGAAAGGUGUGUAGAGAUUUACCUGUGAAGGGGAUCAGGGAGAUUUUUCUUAGUGAAGGAAAACUCCUAACUCCAGCAUCCCAAAUACUUGGCGGCAGCGUAAUCAUGACUUUAAUAGAGCGCUUGGUUUUCCUGUUCCAAUAAAUGAGGUCUGCUCUCUGUUAAAAACAAAGCAAAGGGGAAGCAAACAACUCGCAACCCCAACCCUUGUAGGUGUCCAGGGAAAUGGCUUCACUAUUGGGCAUAUCUCAAAACCUAUCCAGGAACUGUGUGUUCUCCAGCGGAUUAAAUUCACCCACCAGUCACCUGUUGGGCUACAUUAGCAAACAAAACAAACCAGCUGACAGUUUGUGCUGUACUGCACAGCAAAAUAACACCACUCCCAAUGGCUUUUCCAAUUCCAGGCAUGGAGCAGGAGACUUAACUACUUACUGACUCGGCUAUGCUCACCCAGAAAGGACCCAACCUGAUGGACGGCUCCUGACCUCUCCCCCUACGUAUGGCCACCAGCCAGACUGCCACUUGGGUGUCUUCUGCAUGGGGAGAUACAAACCUCCCAUCUGGCAAGAGUCCAGCCCUAUUUUUGUUCCAUACCAUGGUAAGAAAUACUACACUUCCCUGAAUGGAUGACCUCGAAGUCACAUGUGGGUUAAAUAGAAGCAUAAGUUAUCUGGACUUGCAGCCAUGAAGCCAUUCUCUGGGAGGAAAGGGUAAAUAAACAAAUCAUUUAUUAGCAAGUAAAA